GACGAACGCUGGCGGCGUGCUUAACACAUGCAAGUCGAACGGAAAGGCCCUGCUUUUGUGGGGUGCUCGAGUGGCGAACGGGUGAGUAACACGUGAGUAACCUGCCCUUGACUUUGGGAAAACUUCAGGAAACUGGGGCUAAUACCGGAUAGGAGCUCCUGCUGCAUGGUGGGGGUUGGAAAGUUUCGGCGGUUGGGGAUGGGCUCGCGGCUUAUCAGCUUGUUGGUGGGGUAGUGGCUUACCAAGGCUUUGACGGGUAGCCGGCCUGAGAGGGUGACCGGCCACAUUGGGACUGAGAUACGGCCCAGACUCCUACGGGAGGCAGCAGUGGGGAAUAUUGCACAAUGGGCGGAAGCCUGAUGCAGCAACGCCGCGUGCGGGAUGACGGCCUUCGGGUUGUAAACCGCUUUCGCCUGUGACGAAGCGUGAGUGACGGUAAUGGGUAAAGAAGCACCGGCUAACUACGUG
rnacentral:rRNA from 1 species